GUGGGGAAUAUUGGACAAUGGGCGAAAGCCUGAUCCAGCCAUGCCGCGUGUGUGAAGAAGGUCUUCGGAUUGUAAAGCACUUUAAGUUGGGAGGAAGGGCAGUAAGUUAAUACCUUGCUGUUUUGACGUUACCGACAGAAUAAGCACCGGCUAACUUCGUGCCAGCAGCCGCGGUAAUACGAAGGGUGCAAGCGUUAAUCGGAAUUACUGGGCGUAAAGCGCGCGUAGGUGGUUUUGUAAGUUGGAGGUGAAAUCCCCGGGCUCAACCUGGGAACUGCCUCCAAAACUGCAUGACUAGAGUACGGUAGAGGGUAGUGGAAUUUCCUGUGUAGCGGUGAAAUGCGUAGAUAUAGGAAGGAACACCAGUGGCGAAGGCGACUACCUGGACUGAUACUGACACUGAGGUGCGAAAGCGUGGGGAGCAAACAGGAUUAGAUAACCCAGUAGUCC
rnacentral:rRNA from 1 species